AUCGAAAACCAAACUCAUAGAGAAAAUACAGAAUACCCUGAUAAUUCUUCAAAGAAAGAAAGUCCAGAAGAAAACAUCAUUUAAUCCCACUGAAAUCAAAUAUAACAAGGUCAAUAUAUCUUCCCAUACAUAUAUAUCAGAUGAAGCAUCAAGUAGAAGAAACAGAAUCAUAAUAUCAUAUGUAUUCUCUCAUCAAUUCUUAUCAGACGAAAUGAAAUAGAAUACCUGAUGAAAUAGAGCAAUAUAAAUUAUAAACCAGUCAGACUACCAAUGCUUUCAUCCAACACCAGAAUUAGAAGACAUUCCCAUAUAACAAGAAUUUCUUCAGAAGAUCAAUAGCCAUAGAAAUAUUUCUAAGAACGGGUGAACACAUAGAACAUCUCAAAAGAGACUGCUAAAUCUGUCCGGUCA
rnacentral:lncRNA from 1 species